rnacentral:tmRNA from 1 species
GGGGGCGAAUGGCAUCGACCGGACAGGUAGAAGGUCGGGCUGCAUGCCCAGGACGCCGGUUGGCCUGGUAAAUCAUCCGGCACCACAGUAACUGGCAACUACCAGUACAGUAUGGCGGCCUAAUUUAGGCCACCCGUCCUCACGCGCUGUGCCCGUGGGCGUGUGAAGGGCGUCGAACAGCGGGCUGGCCCGCGGGGUGGUCCGCGACCCAAGGGCGAGAUGCAGCGGACUGGCCAAGGUCGUAGCCUGUCGUUUGGCGAUGGCCGAGGCGAGAUUUAAAAAAGCGACUAUGCAUGUAGAUGCUCGACUGGAAAUGUCACGGGACGGGGGUUCGAAUCCCCCCGCCUCCACCA